rnacentral:rRNA from 1 species
AUCGNNUUCGAUUAUGGUNGUUGGUGAGGUAAUGGCUCACCAAGCCGAUAAUCGAUAGGGGCCGNGAGAGCGGGAGCCCCGAGAUGGGUACUGAGACAACGACCCAGGCCUUACGAGGCGCAGCAGGCGCGAAACCUCCGCAAUACACGAAAGUGUGACGGGGUUACCCAAAGUGUUCAAUUUUGAACUGUGGUAGGUGAGUAAUGUUCCNUACUAGAAAGGAGAGGGCAAGGCUGGUGCCAGCCGCCGCGGUAAAACCAGCUCUUCAAGUGGUCGGGAUAAUUAUUGGGCUUAAAGUGUCCGUAGCCGGUUUAGUAAGUUCCUGGUAAAAUCGGGUAGCUUAACUAUCUAUAUGCUAGGAAUACUACUAUACUAGAGGGCGGGAGAGGUCUGAGGUACUACAGGGGUAGGGGUGAAAUCUUAUAAUCCUUGUUGGACCACCAGUGGCGAAGGCGUCAGACUGGAACGCGCCUGACGGUGAGGGACGAAAGCCAGGGGAGCGAACCGGAUUAGAUACCCGGGUAGUCCUGGCCGUAAACGAUGCAUACUAGGUGAUGGCACGGCCAUGAGCCGUGUCAGUGCCGUAGGGAAACCGUUAAGUGUGCCGCCUGGGAAGUACGGUCGCAAGGCUAAAACUUAA